rnacentral:rRNA from 1 species
CUAACGUUGACCCGUAAUCCGGGUUGCGGACAGUGUCUGGUGGGUAGUUUGACUGGGGCGGUCUCCUCCUAAAGAGUAACGGAGGAGCACGAAGGUUGGCUAAUCCUGGUCGGACAUCAGGAGGUUAGUGCAAUGGCAUAAGCCAGCUUGACUGCGAGCGUGACGGCGCGAGCAGGUGCGAAAGCAGGUCAUAGUGAUCCGGUGGUUCUGAAUGGAAGGGCCAUCGCUCAACGGAUAAAAGGUACUCCGGGGAUAACAGGCUGAUACCGCCCAAGAGUUCAUAUCGACGGCGGUGUUUGGCACCUCGAUGUCGGCUCAUCACAUCCUGGGGCUGAAGUAGGUCCCAAGGGUAUGGCUGUUCGCCAUUUAAAGUGGUACGCGAGCUGGGUUUAGAACGUCGUGAGACAGUUCGGUCCCUAUCUGCCGUGGGCGCUGGAGAACUGAGGGGGGCUGCUCCUAGUACGAGAGGACCGGAGUGGACGCAUCACUGGUGUUCGGGUUGUCAUGCCAAUGGCACUGCCCGGUAGCUAAAUGCGGAAGAGAUAAGUGCUGAAAGCAUCUAAGCACGAA